rnacentral:lncRNA from 10 species
CUGUAAUCCUAGCUACUCAGGAGGCUGAGGUUCAAGAAUCACUUGAACCCGGGAGGUGGAGGUUCCAGUGAGCCAAGAUUGCACCAUUGCACUCCAGCCUGGGCAACAAGAGCGAAACUCCAUUUCAAAAAAAAAAAAAAAAAAUACAAAAAAAACUAGCUGGGCACGAUGGCAAGCGCCUGUAAUCCCAGUUAUUUGGGAGGCUGAGGCAGGAGAAUCGCUUGAACCUGGGAGACAGAGGUUGCAGUGAGCCAAGAUUGCGCCACUGCACUCCAGCAUGGGCAACAGGGGCAAAACUCCAUCUCAAGCAAACAAACAAACAAACAAAAACAAAAAAAUCAGACGAGCCAAAUGCAGUGGCUCACACCUGUAAUCCCAGCUAUUUGGGAGGCUAAGGCAGGAGGACUGCUUUAGCCCAGGAGUUUGAGGAAGACCCUGUCUCGAAACAACAAAAAAAACCCUAAGAAUAACUGUCCU